rnacentral:sRNA from 1 species
GAGAGAGAGAGUGAGAGAGAGCGUUUUAAACUAUUCAACCAUGUCGAUGUGCUAGAGACAUGUGUGUCGUUUUAAGAGUUUCUGUUGCUUAGAAAUUAACAUAAAACCUACACAAGGUUUAUUUUUGAAGUCUUCCUUUAAGUCUACCGUAUAUUUCCUUUAUAUAAGCAUUGCAUACUGGGAAACCUAUAGCUGCUCUUGAAGCGUAUCCUGAAGCUCACUAUGUGGAAGUAUUUCCCCGUUCUUGCAGGCGUCUGUUUGUAUUGGAUACUGACCAUUGUCCAGUUGACGCGAGGAGAUCGGAGGAUGACUCUCAGCUGUGAAGUGGUGUACAAACUGUGUGAGGAUGGUGUCUACACAGCCGCUGAGUGUGACAGUUUGUUAAGCAGGUGUUUACAUUAACACCUGACCUCUUGCCCCGGAAGUAAACAUCUGAUCGAGCACAGAACAUGGAGUUGAUGUGCAUUUUUUUUUCUUCUAUAAAUCUGGUAUCUCUAUAAA